CUGAGUUCAUGCCCUUACGGGUAGAUCUCCCACCCUUGAAUAUCUAAAACCUUUGUUGCUUUGGCGGGCCGCUUCGGCUACCGGCUCCGGCUGGUGAGUGCCCGCCAGAGAACCUUAAACUCUGAAUUACAGUGUCGUCUGAGUACUAUAAAAUAGUUAA
rnacentral:misc_RNA from 1 species